rnacentral:rRNA from 1 species
UACGAAGGGGGCUAGCGUUGCUCGGAAUGACUGGGCGUAAAGGGCGCGUAGGCGGCUUGUAUAGUCGGAUGUGAAAUUCCUGGGCUUAACCUGGGGGCUGCAUACGAGACGUAUGGGCUUGAGUGCGGAAGAGGGUCGUGGAAUUCCGGGUGUAGCGGUGGAAUGCGUAGAGAUCCGGAAGAACACCGGUGGCGAAGGCGGCCUGCUGGGCAGUAGCUGACGCUGAUGCGCGACAGCGUGGG